UACUCGAGUGGCGAACGGGUGAGUAACACGUGGGUGAUCUGCCCUGCACUUCGGGAUAAGCUUGGGAAACUGGGUCUAAUACCGGAUAGGAACCAUCUUUAGUGUGGUGGUUGGAAAGUUUUUUCGGUGUAGGAUGAGCUCGCGGCCUAUCAGCUUGUUGGUGGGGUAAUGGCCUACCAAGGCGGCGACGGGUAGCCGGACUGAGAGGUUGGUCGGCCACAUUGGGACUGAGAUACGGCCCAG
rnacentral:rRNA from 1 species